AGAGAAGAAAAAUGAAAUUUUUCAUUCGUGUAAGCUAAAAUUCUUACAGCGUUUUGUAAUGUUUCGGUAUAUUUUUGCAGGGGUCAUUCAAGUUUGGCGAAAAUCAAACGAUGAAAUGACGAGAUUUGGGACGAUGGUAGGGUACUUCAUUAAUUUCACGAUGCGGAAUUGAUGAUCAGAUCCGACCGGAGCGUUGUAUGCAGAAGAAGAUAAUUUUCGAUCAGCUGUUACAACGAAGCGGUUCAAUCUGUUUAAGCGUAUUCUUGUGGGACGUGUUUGCUCGAGGGCUAUCCAACAGAUCUUGUCUACAGCGAGAAGUUACGUAGAUACGAGAGAUGUGGGACGCGAUCGUUUGUUCACGAGAAAUAAAGAGAGUAUGGAUAGUGAUAGAAUUAUAUCAAUAAUAGUAAUUUUGCGAUAAUACACAGCAUAAGAUAAGGCUCGGAAAUCAUGGACCGCAGAUUUUCUCGUUUCUCUUCAUAGUGAUCAAUUUUUACAGUUAAUCAAUCAUAAAUUUCGGAAUAUUAUAAAAGCAGUAUUAUUACAUUAUCAUAAGCGAGAUACUGACUAUCUUCCUCAUUUUUCUACAUCCUACCUCCAAUUAUUGACUCGAUAUCGCGGCAGGAAUCGUAAGCCGUAAUAAAUUAGCCAGAACCGAAUUACUGCUGUCUGGCGAUCCAGAUGAGUUUUUGUGCACUGAACCUACGAUUCUGACUCUACUAUACUUGGAUUUCGCUUUCUAUAAAAAUGCGAAUCAUCCAAGAGUAAGAAAAGCGGAGUCAUCAACGAGUUUCGUAGCAUGAUGGACCAUAUAAGAGACACAUAAGAAUUUGGAAAUCACGUUUUGUUCGAUGUUUGAAAUUAUCAUUUUAAUUUUAUGGUAAGCAAGGAUAUAAUACGGCACAAGAUCAAGGUAGACUCCGCCUUGUUUAUUCUGCAAAUAUUUUUUAGCACUGUUUGCUCUGAUCUUCUUCAUUUAUAGCUUACCAUAUAACACGUAAUUGUUUUUAAUUCUCGAUGUCAUUUUCUGGGCCACUAAAGGUAUGG